GACAAAAGUCUGAGGCUGGUGGAGACUUAAUCACCUUUAUCAGUGAUUACAGCGGUGGGGAAUGCAACUCACUUCCAGACAUUCUAGAAUCUUUGGAAUCCACAGUGCUCUGCAGGAGGAAGCAAGAGCCUCUUGAAAAACUUACCACCAAACUUCGUGAAAUCACCCUGGCCUUCUUCAACAAAAACCUCUUUAACAGCACUAAAACACAGUUAAAAGAAUUGUUUGAGGCGAAGAGAUGCUGGUUUGUUGAAUCAGUUGCAAGAGCUUGACAAGCAGAUAAGUGACCUGAGACUGGAUGUAGAAAAGACAUCUGAAGAGCACCUGGAGACAGACAGUCGGCCUAGCUCAGGGUUUUAUGAGCUGAGUGAUGGGGCUUCAGGAUCCCUUUCCAAUUCCUCUAACUCGGUGUUCAGUGAGUGUUUAUCCAGUUGUCAUUCCAGCACCUGCUUUUGCAGCCCCUUGGAGGCGACCUUGAGUCUCUCAGAUGGUUGCCCCAAAUCUGCAGAUGUGAAUCCCAAGUACCAGUGUGAUCUGGUGUCUAAAAACGGGAAUGAUGUAUAUCGCUAUCCCAGUCCACUUCAUGCUGUGGCUGUGCAGAGCCCAAUGUUU
rnacentral:sRNA from 1 species